rnacentral:pre_miRNA from 1 species
UCUUAUGGCUGAACAAAUAAGUGGUUUCUUGAGAUGGAAGCUACCUCUGGUGAAGAUGCUGUGAA